GAGGGUAUAGCUUAGGUGGUAGAGCGCAUGCUUAGCACCUAGGGGGUCCUGGGUUUAAUCCCCAAGUACCUUCA
rnacentral:tRNA from 1 species